UGGUGUUUGGGAUCUCGUUGGAGAGCAGGAGGCUCUUCCAGGCUCGAAGCUGAGCAGUGCUAGCCGAGGCCAGCGCCUUAGAGCCAGUAGCUUGGGGUUUCUGCUCCUGUCGCACACCGGCUUCGUCCAUUUCUGGACCAGGAUGACCUCCUCGCUCUGUGGCUGCAGCCGGGUUCCGGAGCCAACCGCGUAGAUACAUCGCGCUUGGAAAGCAAACUGCUUCCCUGAACAGGACAGAUGCCGUUGGAGGGUCUGAAUAUGCUCCAAGAAGCCUCCCAGGAGGAAUUGUGACCGCACAGGACCACACCACCGCCUGAUCGCUGGCCUUUCAGCGAGAGAGGGGGAAAGCAAAGACCAGGUCCACAGCUUGGACUUGGGCCCCCGCCCCUCUCCGGGGGAGGAGCGGAGAUCCUAUUCAGAGCUGCCGGUCUUUCUAAAUAUGCCCCAGGGACCCGCUCUUAUGGCGAGAACGGCGAAUUAAUCAGAGAGUAUAAACGUGUCAUAAGGAGAGUUUGAGCUCAGUCCAGCGAUUGCAGUGCACACCGUGUGUCACUCGGUUAGAAGUUGGGGCAGAAGCACGUGUCAGUGGGAUGCGUCGGGACA